GACGAACGCUGGCGGCGUGCCUAACACAUGCAAGUCGAACGGGGUUACGAGAGCUUGCUCUUGUAACUUAGUGGCGAACGGGUGAGUAACGCGUGAGAAACCUGCCUCUCAGUGGGGGACAACAGUUGGAAACGACUGCUAAUACCGCAUAACACUUUAGUACCGCAUGGUACAGAAGUCAAAGCUUUAUGUGCUGAGAGAUGGUCUCGCGUCUGAUUAGCUAGAUGGCGGGGUAACGGCCCACCAUGGCGACGAUCAGUAGCCGGUCUGAGAGGAUGAACGGCCACAUUGGGACUGAGACACGGCCCAGACUCCUACGGGAGGCAGCAGUGGGGGAUAUUGCACAAUGGGGGAAACCCUGAUGCAGCAACGCCGCGUGAAGGAAGAAGGUCUUCGGAUUGUAAACUUUUGUCGCAAAGGAAGAUAAUGACGGUACUUUGUGAGAAAGCCACGGCUAACUACGUGCCAGCAGCCGCGGU
rnacentral:rRNA from 1 species